rnacentral:tRNA from 1 species
GCGCCAUUAGCUCAAUUGGAUAGAGUAGCGGACUUCGAAUCCGAAGGUUGUGGGUUCAAUUCCCUCAUGGCGUACCA